UCUUUUGUGGUCAUCGGUUAGAGUAAUCGCUGGAAUUACAGAAGAGUAACAAGACAGUCCUUGGCUGGGAGGCAACAGUAAAGCUGGACUUGGCAAAACCGGCUGAAGGGACUGAGCUGGACCAGAAGAUGCAGUCUGCCGAAUGACAUUACUGAACUAAAUAGUUAAGACCUGCUAUUUUCAGCCUUGUUUUACUCAGAUGUAUGGCCAUCUGAAUUUUAAGAGAAAACUGCCUUGUGGAUGUUGUAUGAACUAGCACCUGUCCAGAAUUUCUCAGUUCACCUCUCACCAACGAGUAGGCCAGAGGGAAAAAAAAAAGAUCCAGAUAGUGCUGGGGAUCCAGAUAGUUCUCCAGCUAAUUAGCUAAGAAGAGAAAGCAUGUGAUGAAUCUCUCUCCAACUUUGCCAGCUCCCAUAUCUGAAGUGCAAGUCUCAAGUGUGACUCAAACCACAUUUUUACCUCAGAGGAAACAAUACAGAACCAGAGAAAUGUCCUCUGAGAGAAAAACAGGUAUUCUUCAAGAAGAACUGUAAAUUCUCUAUCAAGGCUAAACAGUGAAAGAAAAGACCAGAUGUCAGCCCAAGGCCUUUGAACAGCUAGAUACAAUGAAAAAUCCAGCCCUCUUCCUGGCAAAGUAAUGUGGGUGCACCCUGAGCAUGAGUCAGCAGAAGAUAAGCUGACACUAGUAGGAAGGCCAUGUGGAGAGGAAUAAUUAGUUCAAGAUAAUGUUAUGCUCGACUAAUGAAAGAACAGGUAAGUCCCCUCUCAAGUUGGCUGGCAG